rnacentral:rRNA from 1 species
GCUGGAGGCUGCAGCUAUUUGGUCUGGAUUUAGGCAUGCAAGUUUUUUACCGUCGUAAGAUAGGUGAAGGCGAACUGCUCAGUAACACGUAGUUAAUCUACCCUUAGGUCAGGCAUAAGCUCGGGAAACUGAGUCUAAUUCCUGAUAAGAGAUAAGUCCUGGAAUGGUUAUUCUCUGAAAUUCGUGCCUAAGGAUGAGACUGCGGACGAUUAGCUUGUUGGCGGGGUAAGAGCCCACCAAGGCGAUGAUCGUUAAGGGCUCUUAGCGGAGUGGCCCUGAGAAGGAAUCUGAGACACUAUUCCUAGCUCUACGGAGUGCAGCAGCUGCGAAUUUUUUGCAAUGCACGAAAGUGUGACAAAGCGAACCAAAGUGCUUUCCGCACAGGAAAGCUUUUUAUUCACUUUAAAAAGGUGGAUGAAUAAGGACUGGGUAAGACAGGUGCCAGCCGCCGCGGUAAUACCUGCGGUCCAAGUUGCAACCAACGUUAUUGGGUCUAAAACAUCCGUAGCCUGCCUGUUAAGUUUCUUGUGAAAUCCUAUGUCUCAAGCAUAGGGCGAGCAAGAAAUACUAGCAGGCUAGAGAUCGGUAGAUGUGGGGAGUACGCAAAAGGUAGUGGUAAAAUACGUUAAUCUUUUGUGGACUAACAAUUGGCGAAGGCACCCUGCAAGGACGAAUCUGACAGUGAGGGAUGAAGGCCAGGGGCGCAAAACGGAUUAGAUACCCGUGUAGUCCUGGCAGUAAACACUGCUCACUAAACAUCGGGCCCUCUUCGGGAGGAUUCGGUGCUGAAGCGAAGGCGAAGAGUGAGCUACCUGGGAAGUAUAGUCGCAAGAUCGAAACUUAAAGGAAUUGGCGGGGAGGCACACAACGAGUGACGCGUGCGGUUCAAUUAGAUUCGACACCGUGAACCUCACCAGGAGCGACAGCAGAAUGAAGGUCAGUCUAAAGGGCUUACCUGACACGCUGAGCGGAGAUGCAUGGCCAACAUCAGCCUGUGUCGUGAGAUGACCUGUUAAAUCAGGUAACAGGCGAGACCCGUGUGUAUAAUUACUACUGAAAAGAGUACAUUAUACAGACUGCCUUGGUAACAAGGAGGAAGGUACGGGCUAUGUUAGGUGAGUACAUCCCUAACCCCCUGGGCUACACGCGCGCGUCAAUGGUAGACUCAGCGAGAUGCAACACCGAAAGGUGAAGCUAAUCCCCUAACGUCUAUCUCAGUACAGAUUGAGGGUUGCAACCCACCCUCAUGACGCCGGAAUUCGAAGUAAUCGUUUGUUAGCAGCGAACGGUGAAAAAGUCCCUGCUUCUUGCACACACCGCCCGUCAAACCAACCGAGUUAUGCAGAGUUGAAGCUCGUAUGGGAAAAAAUUUUGUAUGACAAGGUAGGUUAAGUCGUCACAAGGUA